ACAAAAGGGAAAGAGGAGUGCUCAAAGCAGCCUUCCUCCUGCCAAAGCCUGACUCAUCGGCCGUGCUCCAGCUUGGCUCUCCGAGCAAAAGGCCGGCUCUGCUCGUGGAGCCAACCAGAGCCGGGGCUGGCCCGGAGGAGAGGGAAGCAGGGCAGGAGGCCAAAGGCAGGGACGCCCCAGACGCUCGGGCCGGCGAGCCAGGGCUCUGGCUCCUCAUAAAGGGCCCUUGUGCGUUAGGCCCGGGCCGCCAGGCCCUGUAGGCCUGGGGUCCGGGGGGGCUGUGGGGCCGCUGGAGCACUGAGUCGGCACCCACGCUCCACACGAACUCUGACCUUGUCCCACGAGAGACCAGACAGCUCUGAGGAGACGGACCACCGCCUCCAAAAGCCUCUCUCCUUCCAUAAUCGCUGGAAAAAUCUCUGCUGACAACAUUUGCAGGAUUUCACAAGGCCCCACCUCCACCACCAAAAGCCCAACACAACACAGCGUGGCAGAAAUGCCAAAGCCGUGCCUUCAAGAACCAGGGCGAGAACUGGGACCUCACCAGCCAAGUGCCACCUACCAGAGUGUUCGCUUCACGGAACGCCCACGGAUGCGCAUAAACCCCAAUUCAGGCUACUUUUGGGGGACCUCCUUAGAACAACAACGGGGUUUGCUCAGGAACAGGGCCAGGGGAAACGUAAGCCACCCACAGCCUGAGCGCCUCCUGGACAAAGGGGACAUUUGAAAGGUGUCAAUAAAGUGCUUCUCCAAGCAACAUGUUUUCCACCUCAAACGGAGAAUUUUGCUUGACAGUUCCAAAAACAUGUUUUUAAACCCAGUAAAUAAAAGAGGGAAUUGUAGGGAUAUUUCACCAAAUCUUGCCUCACACAUAUUUUAUCACAUUCUGCACUGGAACUAGUACGCGAAGUUCCUUUUAGGAACAUUCACUGAGAAGACAAAAUAUAGAUUUAUUAAAGAAAAGAAGAU